UCAGACUCCACGCCCGUGGGAGUAGUGAGAGGCAUAGGAUGGGACAGAAGGAGAUGCUAAACAGUGAUGCAGAAGCAGCGAAGACCUCCGCAAUCCUGCAGGGAAGCUUGGGAGCUGGUACGGCCCUGCAGAGAUGCACUGAGGGAAGCCAAGCUGCCAUGUUGUAAGCUGCCCUAUGAAGGGACCCACAUGGCAAAGAAUGGAGAAUGACCCCAGCCAGCCAAGAACUCUCAGCCUACCGGCCCAUGAGGAACUGAAUCCUGCCAACAGCGAUGUGAGUGAACUUGGAAGUGGAUCCUUCUCCAGUGGCACCAUCAGGGUGCCCCCACUGGUGUCCUGAAGCUCAUCCUGCACCAAGCAGAAGCGAGCAGAAGAACCCCACACCCUGCCCCUGCUGCAACACACUCACCUGGAGACCUAAAAUGUGACCUCCAUGUCCCCUCUGUGAGAACAGCUUCUUCCACCUCUGCUGUGGGGAACAGCAGCAUCCCAGGCAGAGGGAACUGCAUAUGCAAGGAACCUGGGUGGGGUGGGGGGCAAUGGUGGCCGGCGUUUGAAGAACAGUAAGGCAGUCAAUGUUGCUGGAGCCCAGAGAGAUAAUGAAAGGUGGAUGACGUGGGGUCUUAUAGGUCACCAUGAGAGCUUUACUCUAAGGUGUUGGGAAGCCAGACACCUGCAGACAUGUCUGCAAAUACCUUUGAGGUUUGUCUGAAUCCUCAGCUGCAGAGGAAAACACAGGAAGUAUGGGAGUUCCCCACAAGAGUUCACAUUUGAACUAGGUUGUUUUUUUUUUAACCGCAACCUCUGCCUCCUAGUUGCAAGUGACUCUCCUGUCUCAGCCUCUCGAGUAG
rnacentral:lncRNA from 1 species